AGUGAACGCUGGCGGUAGGCCUAACACAUGCAAGUCGAACGGCAGCACAGGAGGGCUUGCUCUCUGGGUGGCGAGUGGCGGACGGGUGAGGAAUACAUCGGAAUCUACUUUUUCGUGGGGGAUAACGUAGGGAAACUUACGCUAAUACCGCAUACGACCUACGGGUGAAAGCAGGGGACCUUCGGGCCUUGCGCGAUUGAAUGAGCCGAUGUCGGAUUAGCUAGUUGGCGGGGUAAAGGCCCACCAAGGCGACGAUCCGUAGCUGGUCUGAGAGGAUGAUCAGCCACACUGGAACUGAGACACGGUCCAGACUCCUACGGGAGGCAGCAGUGGGGAAUAUUGGACAAUGGGCGCAAGCCUGAUCCAGCCAUACCGCGUGGGUGAAGAAGGCCUUCGGGUUGUAAAGCCCUUUUGUUGGGAAAGAAAUCCAGCUGGCUAAUACCCGGUUGGGAUGACGGUACCCAAAGAAUAAGCACCGGCUAACUUCGUGCCAGCAGCAGCCGCAG
rnacentral:rRNA from 1 species